AGAUUGAACGCUGGCGGCAUGCCUUACACAUGCAAGUCGAACGGCAGCACGGGAGCAAUCCUGGUGGCGAGUGGCGAACGGGUGAGUAAUAUAUCGGAACGUGCCCAGUCGUGGGGGAUAACGUAGAGAAAUUUACGCUAAUACCGCAUACGAUCCAAGGAUGAAAGCGGGGGACCGUAAGGCCUCGCGCGACUGGAGCGGCUGAUAUCAGAUUAGCUUGUUGGUGAGGUAAAAGCUCACCAAGGCGACGAUCUGUAGCUGGUUUGAGAGAACGACCAGCCACACUGGGACUGAGACACGGCCCAGACUCCUACGGGAGGCAGCAGUGGGAAUUUUGGACAAUGGGCGAAAGCCUGAUCCAGCAAUGCCGCGUGCGAGGAAGAAGGCCGUUCGGUUGUAACUGUCUUUUGUACGGAAGAAAGGCUUAGCCGUUAAUACGACGACGCCAGUGACGGUACGUAA
rnacentral:rRNA from 1 species